UGCGCCAUAUGUCUUGAACGACGCCCCUCAAACACCAAAGAGCCAUAUGUUACCUCACUGUAUCCCAGACCGACCCUGGCAGGUCGUGAACGACACCCCUCAAACACCAAAGAGCCAUAUGUUACCUCACUGUAUCCCAGACCGACCCUGGCAGGUCGUGAACGACACCCCUCAAACACCAAAGAGCCAUAUGUUACCUCACUGUAUCCCAGACCGACCCUGGCAGGUCGUGAACGACACCCCUCAAACACCAAAGAGCCAUAUGUUACCUCACUGUAUCCCAGACCGACCCUGGCAGGUCGUGAACGACACCCCUCAAACACCAAAGAGCCAUAUGUUACCUCACUGUAUCCCAGACCGACCCUGGCAGGUCGUGAACGACACCCCUCAAACACCAAAGAGCCAUAUGUUACCUCACUGUAUCCCAGACCGACCCUGGCAGGUCGUGAACGACACCCCUCAAACACCAAAGAGCCAUAUGUUACCUCACUGUAUCCCAGACCGACCCUGGCAGGUCGUGAACGACACCCCUCAAACACCAAAGAGCCAUAUGUUACCUCACUGUAUCCCAGAC